UUGAGUUUUUUUGUCACUCUCUCUUGAGUUAUCUUCACUCCCAUUUCACUCACAACUGCACCCUCUCGCUCACCAUCUCUAUCUCAUCUCAAUCUUAUCCCUCAUUCCAUUUCAUUCUUCUCUCUGCAGGUUUACUGUCGCUGGUGGGGGUUCCGUGGGGCUAGCGCGGCCUCGUUGGGGCUGGACGACGCAACGGCCUGGGACUACUCGAUAAAGCUUGCAGCAGGGUUACCCAAUUUGUUUUGAUGGUGUGAAAUAUUUCAUUCCACAAGCUUGAUCUCUUCACUCUCUUAAGAAAGGUUGGAUUUGUGGAUAUUCUAAUGAGAGGUGAUAAUGGCCAUACCUUUUUUAAUCCAAUGGUUUGAUGGUGGACAAGCUAAGCAUUUGACUCAACCCAAGGCUGAGAAGAAAGAGUAAGAUGAGCAUUUGGUUUUUCUCUUUUUUGCAUUAUUAUUUAAUUAUUUAAUUCAGAUUUGACUCACUUUCAUUAUAUUAUAACAUUGUAAAUGUGUGUAUGUGCUGAGACAGACUUCAAAGAAACUAUUUUGCAACAGUUUGCAAGAGGUAUGCCUCUAACUUUUAUUUUAAUACUAUGCAAAUGUUAGAGGAGUUUGAAUAUCUUAAAUAUUCAUCCAUAGUGAAAUAGGUCCUGAGAUUGUUACUGCGUGCUGCGGUGAUAACGGAAAGUUAAGAACUUGUGUGUUUUAGUGAAGUAGGAUCUGAGAAAUUUGUGUGCUGCGGAGAUAAGAAAGAAAACUUGUGUGUUGUUUGAAUUGAUGUAGACUUGUCUAUGAUCAUCCUAUAAUUGAAUUGUGUUUGUUUGAUUGGCUUGAUUAUAACAUAUACUUGUAUGAAUGUACAUAUACUUGUAGGAUAUAUAUUUAUAUAUUUACUCGAUGAUUUCCUUUUCUGCACCAGAACUACUAUCUCAAUUUGUGUUUAUUUUAAUUGAAGCAUAGCUUUGUGUUUCAUUGUAGUCUAAUAGUUUGAUCAUUUUCUUACUUAAAUAAUAUCUAAGUUAUUUUUUUCUUCCAAACUGUGAUUGUUUUUACCAUGUUCGAUGGCCUUAGUUGAAACAAUGUAUUCUUUAAACAAUUGAAAAUUUUCUAAAAUGGAUUGAUUAUCACUUUGUUAAAAAUCCUGCGUUUGCAUAGAAUUCAUAAUUAUAUGACUAUUUAUUAAAAGAAAUAUAUAUGCUUGACCAAUAGAAAUUAUGAUUUUCUAUUUAGCGUAGACUUUCAAAUGUGAAUUAGAUUUAUAAAUUUGGAUUAGGCUUAUUCACAACUCAUGUUACUUUAACAACUUUGUUUGGUAUGCUCGUUGUGUUACUUUAAUAACAUUAACAAAUGUCACCUGGUAUGCUUGUGUUAUAUAUUAAUGAUCUAUUAUAUUUAUGUUCUUGGUGCUCUUAUUUAUAACUAUAUUAUCUUUUCUUUUCUUGCUAAGUACUAUGGACUUAGAAUCUUAUGCAUAUUACCUACACAGUGCAUGUCUUUAUAUGUGUAUAUAUGUAUAUUAAUUUCUCGAUGUUUAUUGUAUAUUUGCUAAUGUGCUAUGAAUGAUUCAAAAUUUGGUUUAUUAAUGUCUAUGAUUUCAUAAACUAACUAGCUUGAGCACUUUUAAAUUGAGACUGACAGGUAUGCAUUCAUUAGUUUAAAGAAUUAAGACUAACUACUUAAGUCAUGAGGCUAUCCAAUUUGAUAAGAAAAAUACAACUUUUAUAUAAAUUAUUUUUGUGACUGAAAACCACAAUCAUCCUUUUUAUUUAUUCUGCAACCUUAAGUUCUCUAUUUAUUUUAGUUUUGGUUUAACUUUAAUGGUUUUUAUUCUGUAUUGUAGCCUAAAACUCUACUUGGAUAUCUAAGAGAACCAAGAGAAUUAUAUAAGAGAACCAAGGCAACACGAAAUUCUUCGUCAAGUUGUUGGGUAUUAUUUUCUUUCUUGCUUGUAAGAAUUAUGUACAGUGAGGAUUUGAUGUUUUAUUUAUAUCGAGAAUAAUGAAUUUUUAUUGAGAAUUAUAAUGAAUUUUCAUUGAGACUUAUUUAGUCUCAUGGGGAUUUGAUGUAUUAUUUACAUUUCAAUUGUAUGAAUAAAUGUUGUAUGUAUAUGAA